AGAUUGAACGCUGGCGGCAUGCUUUACACAUGCAAGUCGAACGGCAGCGCGGGGCAACCUGGCGGCGAGUGGCGAACGGGGUGAGUAAUGCAUCGGAACGUGCCCAGUCGUGGGGGGAUAACGCAGCGAAAGCUGUGCUAAUACCGCAUACGAUCUAUGGAUGAAAGCGGGGGACGAAAGGCCUCGCGCGAUUGGAGCGGCCGAUGUCAGAUUAGCUAGUUGGUGGGGUAAAGGCCCACCAAGGCGACGAUCUGUAGCUGGUCUGAGAGGACGACCAGCCACACUAGGAACUGAGACACGGUACCAGACUCCGUAACGGGAGGCAGCAGUGGGGAAUUUUGGACGAAGUGGGCGCAAGCCUGAUACCAGCUAAUGCCGCGUGACGAGGAAGAAGGCCUU
rnacentral:rRNA from 1 species